rnacentral:rRNA from 1 species
CCUACGGGUGGCAGCAGUGAGGAAUAUUGGUCAAUGGCCGCAGGGCUGAACCAGCCAAGUCGCGUGAGGGAUGACGGUCCUAUGGAUUGUAAACCUCUUUUGUCAGGGAGAAAAGGGCGCCACGUGUGGCGUUUUGCGCGUCCCCGAAGUACAUGCAUCGGCUAACUCCGUGCCGGCGGCCGCGGUCAUACGGAGGAUGCGAGCGUUAUCCGGAUUUAUUGGGUGUAAGGGGUGCGCAGGCGGAAUGUCAAGUCAGCGGGAAAAUUUCGGGGCUCAACCCCGUCGUGCCGUUGAAACUGGCGUUCUUGAGUGAGCGAGAAGUAAGCGGAAUGCGUGGUGUAGCGGUGAAAUGCGUAGAUAUCACGCAGAACUCCGGUUGCGAAGGCAGCAUACCGGAGCGUAACUGACGCUGAUGCGCGAAAGCGUGGGUAUCGAACAGGAUUAGAUACCCUAGUAGUC